rnacentral:rRNA from 1 species
ACCUGGCUCACACCGGUUUAAACUCAGAUCAUGUAAAAUUUUAAAGGUCGAACAGACCUAAUCUGUUAGCUUCUGCACCAACUAUUCAUUUUAAUCCAACAUCGAGGUCGCAAUCUUCUUAUUCGAUAAGAACUCUAAAAAAAAUUACGCUGUUAUCCCUAAGGUAAUUUUAUCUUUUUAUCUUUAAACAAGGAUCACUUACCUAUUAAUCAAUAUAAAAUAAAAGAAAAGUUUGUUUAAUUUUCUCAUCACCCCAACAAAAUAAAUUUUWAUAAGUUUAAAAUAAAAUUCCUAAAAUUGAACAAACUUUAAUUUAUUAAACUCUAUAGGGUCUUCUCGUCUUCUAUUUUCAUUUAAGCUUUUUAACUUAAAAAUAAAAUUCUAAUAAAAUUCUCUAGAGACAGUAUCUCUCUCAUCGAACCUUUCAUACAAGCUUUCAAUUAAAAAACUACUGAUUAUGCUACCUUUGCACGGUCAAUGUACCGCGGCCAUUCAACAAUUCAGCGGGCAGGC